AUCGAACGCUGGCGGCAGGCCUAACACAUGCAAGUCGAACGAGUGGCGGACGGGUGAGUAAUGUCUUGGAAACUGCCUGAUGGAGGGGUAUAACUACUGGAAACGGUAGAUAAUACCGCAUACCAUCGGAUGUGCCCAGGUGGGAUGAGCUAGUAGGUGGGGUAACGGCUCACAAAGGCUACGAUCCCUAGCUGGUCCGAGAGGCUGACCGGCCACACGGGAACUGAGACACGGCCCAGACUCCUACGGGAGGCAGCAGUGGGGAAUCUUGGGCAAUGGGCGAAAGCCUGAUGGAGCAAUGCCGCGUGAAUGAAGAAGGCCUUCGGGUUGUAAAGUUCUUUCAGCGGAGAGGCGUUACCCGAAGAAGAAGCACCGGCUAACUCCGUGCCAGCAGCCGCGGUAAUUC
rnacentral:rRNA from 1 species